UACAUAGGGUGCAAGCGUUAAUCGGAAUUACUGGGCGUAAAGCGUGCGCAGGCGGUUUUGUAAGACCGAUGUGAAAUCCCCGGGCUUAACCUGGGAACUGCAUUGGUGACUGCAAGGCUUGAGUGUGUCAGAGGGAGGUGGAAUUCCGCGUGUAGCAGUGAAAUGCGUAGAUAUGCGGAGGAACACCGAUGGCGAAGGGCAGCCUCCUGGGAUAACACUGACGCUCAUGCACGAAAGCGUGGGGAGCAAACAGG
rnacentral:rRNA from 1 species